UAAAUAAAAUAAAAAUAAAAUAAAAUAAAUAUAAAUAAAAUAAAAUAAGCAAAGUCCGCCUG
rnacentral:rRNA from 14 species